UUGGAACAUAGAAUACUAAACUAUUGGACUUUUAAAAAUAAAACUUAUUACCAAGUUCUUGGUUUUAAAAGUAGAUCUCACAGCACUUGUGCAUAGUAACACCAACCUUUUCUGGUAACUUAGCUUUCAGCAAUGGCGGAAAUUAUACAUGAUCUUUUCCCACUGAUUAGAGUUUACAAAGAUGGUCGAAUCGAGAGGCUGAUGGGUGAAGGUUUUGUCCCACCUGAAUCGGAUCCUGAAACCGGAGUACAAAUCAAAGACAUUGAAAUCGAUCCACAAAUUAACCUAUCAGCAAGACUUUACCUGCCCAAAAAUAUAGACCCAAUUCAGAAAAUUCCCCUUUUCGUCUACUUUCACGGCGGCGCCUUUGUAAUCGAAUCUGCUACUUCGCCGACAUAUCACAAACAUCUAAGCAUGGUAGCAGCUGA
rnacentral:lncRNA from 1 species